rnacentral:rRNA from 1 species
UUGACCUCAAAUCAGGUAGGACUACCCGCUGAACUUAAGCAUAUCAAUAAGCGGAGGAAAAGAAACUAACAAGGAUUCCCCUAGUAACUGCGAGUGAAGCGGGAAAAGCUCAAAUUUAAAAUCUGGCGGUCUUGCGGCCGUCCGAGUUGUAAUCUGGAGAAGCGUUUAUCCGCGUCGGACCGUGUACAAGUCUUCUGGAAGGGAGCGUCGUAGAAGGUGAGAAUCCCGUCUUUGACACGGACAACCGGUGCUUUUGUGAUGCGCUCUCGAAGAGUCGAGUUGUUUGGGAAUGCAGCUCAAAAUGGG